UUUUUUUUUUUUUGUUUCAGCAUUUAUAUAUAAUUUGAAAAACACUAAGGUGGUUGGGAUGGUGUGGGUAGUGGGAGUUUGGGCGUGACGAACAGUGGUAAAGCCAAAAUUUUCAUCAAGGGGUUCAAAAUCUGAAGAGUAAACACACAAACUAGCUGAAGGGGGUUCAACAUUUAUUAUAUAUACAUAAAAAAAUAUUUUAUCCAUGUAUAAAUAGUAUAAUUUUCUGUCGAACCCUGAACUCAAGGUGGGUCCACCCCUGGUGACGAAGGUUGGAAUGAUCAAGAGAUAGGGAUUAGAUGCCGUUGGGAUGAAGAGGAGACAAUAAACUUGAAAGACUAUUUAUGAAAUCUAUUUUCUCUACUCAUACUAAAAAGCCAUUUUUCUUAUUAUUUUUAAAAAAAAUUAUUUUUUCAGGAAAAAAUAUUUCGACCAUCCCAAUUAUCUCUUGAAAAUGUAAUUAUGGUUUUCUAAGAGAUAAAUUGGGUGGGGAACAGAAAAUUUGGCAAAUAAAGCAGCUAAGAAAAAUAUAUACUAUAAGGUAGUAUUACUAAUUUCACUUUCCUAAAAUGUGUAACACUGUUCACAUUUAUUGGAGCAAAGUUGAAAAAGUGACAAUCUCCACAUAUUCAGGGAAUUGUUUAAUUGCCUAAGAUUUUUACAUCAACGACAACGAACAGUUGAUAUAUGUAUUUUAUGUACGUUUUAUCACUUAACAUGCAUGUUGUUACAUCAUUAUAUUACUUAAUCGUGAUUAAAUGACGUACGUGUACAUACGUAUUUGGUAUAAAUAACAAAUGUAUAAUCUAUUCAAUCUCAGAAGGAUUUUUUAAUAAACAUUUGAUUUAUUUUUAGGUUCGACUAAUUCAAAUUUUCACCACAAAAUCUCAUUUUGUGAGGUAAAACAUUCUCUACUAAAGACAAUUUUAUACUCGUAACUCAAACCUAAAAUCUCUCACCAGAAAAUCUCAUUUGACUAAUUUGAAUUCUCACUAGAAAGUCUCAUUUUGUGAGGUAAAAUACUCUGUACCAAAGAUAACUUUAUACUCGUACCUCUAAUUAAAAAUAAAUAAAUAUUUAUCACUUCACCGUAACUUAAAAAAACACAAAAUCAUCUCUAUUUACUCUUUAAAAAGAAUCUUUCAGUAUCCCUCUUUGUAACCUCUGACCCGUCUAUUGGCAGACCAAUUUUAGUGUCAUACAAUGACAAUACAUUCUCUUGAAGUAAGUGUAAGGGGUUGGUGGGGUGGGGGAUGUAAAAAGAAAAAAUACAAGAAAAGGGGGAAUUAACGAUGACUCAUUGCAAUAAUAAAUAAAUAUUGGGAUAUUUUUAAAAAUUAUACAUUACAUCACAAAAUAUUAUAUCAAUGUAGUCAUAUUUUUAGUUUAUACAUGCAUAACUAACUUGCUUUUGCAAUAGAGUAGUAUUUAUACACAUGAUAUACAAAAUUAUACACAACUUUAUACAUUUAGUCAUGAAGACAAUGCAUUAAUCUUGUAUAAAUAUGUAUAAUAAUAAUGUAUAAGAAAUGGUUAUACUAUAUGUUUACAUAAUGAUACAAAAUUAUUGAAUUUUGCCUACUAUAAACUUCAACCCACAAAAAUGAAAAAAAAUCCACCAAAUUAUUACUCAAAUAAAAAUUCGAAAUAUGUCCUUCGGAUGGUUCAGUUGGUUUGGACUUUGGAGGGUGGUUAUCCACACAGAUGAUUCAGGAUUGAUCCCCACUCAAUGCCUUUUGAGUUGAGCUUGUUGUGCGAUUUAUAUCCUCUGUGUUGUUUGCAGGCUAUUACACAGUGAGAGGUUUAUUCGAUGCGCACAAAGUGCUCACCCGAAGGACAGAAGCUGUGACAGAGAUUGUAACAACUACGGAUUAUCCUGGUGUUCUAAAAAAAAAUCAAAAUACUUAAUAAUAUCGGAUCAUAUUUUUUUUAAAAACGUGUUAUGUUGUUAUACUAAUCUAUUAAAUGAAAAAAAGGUAUAUAUAUAUAUAUAUAUAUAUAUAUAUAUAUAUAUAUAUAUGGUGAUAUAUGGUGUUCUUUGUCUAUUGGAAAAUCAACUUUUAUGUAUCCAAAAAGAGCUAAAAGUUGUUGGACACGUCAUUGAAGGUGCCACACAAUUUUUAAUGCCCAAAGAAGUCUUAAUUUGGGGUGAAAAACUUCAAAGGAAAAAUUAGUUAGAUAGUACCUUUUAAUAAAUAAUUACUGAUUUUAGCGAUAUUUUUUAUUUAUUAUCAUUUAUAGCAAUACAUAGCAAUAUUAUGUUAAAUCUGCAAUAUGUAUUAAAAGUAAAUUAGGUAUGCAAUAUAUAUGUAUUAUAACUGGUUUUUUUAAAUAUAUUAUGCUUGUUUGGUAAGAAAUUGACACAAUUGUAUUAUAAAUGUAUUAAAAUGUGUGAUAAAUGUAUUAUCUAUCAAUAAAACUUGUAUUAUAUGUGAAUAAUAAACUGUUCUUUGUAAUAUAUAUUAAAACUGUAUUAUAAAUACAGAAAAGGGUCAAAAUUGCCUCUGAACUAUGCGAAAUAGUACACUUAUACCCUCCAUUACAUUGUAUUAUAUGUGAAUAAUAAACUGUUCUUUGUAAUAUAUAUUAAAACUGUAUUAUAAAUACAGAAAAGGGUCAAAAUUGCCUCUGAACUAUGCGAAAUAGUACACUUAUACCCUCCAUUACAUUUUUGGGAUAAAAAAUACCCCCGCCGUUAUCCCAGGAGACCACAAAUACCCUCAAGAGUUAACACCCCAAUUUUUUAGUGACGUGGCAAGCCACGUGGGACUAAUCCCUCCACCUAAGCUUUGCCAACUAAGAUUCACUACAAAAGACUUGACCUUUAGUGGCGACAAAGUCGCCACAAAUUUCCAAAAUAAUUGCCGCUAAAGGUUGAGUGACUUUUAGUGGCGACUAAGGCUCCAACAACCAUUCGCUAGUAAAACCUAUUUUUUCAACAAAAAAAUAUGAUAAUUAAUUUUCGAUUGCAACCUAAUUUUCUAAAAUAAAUAACUUGCAAUAUUAAUAUUAAAAACAUACAAUAUUAUUACGAAAAACCAUCAAAAUUACUUCUCGAUUCAAAUCUCCUACUAUAUAAUGCAUCAUUGUACAUUUUAUACAUUUACAUAUGACAUAAAAAUAAAACAUACAGUGUCUUCAAACUCCUACUUAAUCAAUAUCAUUUUUGUUUUUAAAAACUAAUGAAAAAAAAACACAAAAUUAGAAUUAAUGUUAAAAACUUUUAGUGACGAUUUUCUGGGCUUUUGUGGCGAAUGUUGUUGCCACUAAAGGUCUAGUUCUUUGUAGUGAAUCCUAGUUGGCAACGCUAGGUGGAAGGAUUAGUCCCACGUGGCUUGCCACGUCAAUAAAAAUUUGGGGUGUUAACUCUUGAGGGUAUUUGUGGUCUCUUAGGAUAACAGUAGGGGCAUUUUUUAUCCCAAAAUAUAACAAAGGGUAUAAGUGAUCUAUUUCACAUAGUUCAGGGGCAAUUUUGAUCCUUUUUCGAAUAUAUUACAAGUGAUUUAGUGAAAAAAAAUGUUAUUGCUAUAAUGGUAAAUAUUUUUUCAAUGCAGUAUACUUAUAUAAGUUUCCCAAAUUUUAAUGGGUUGAGUUAUAUACAAAACUGUGUGUUUAUGAAAUUUUAUGUCAUUGAUAUAAUUAGAUCGAAAAGCUUCUAAGAAAGUCAGCCGAAUAAAAUAGGGUCUUGCUUAAUUGUGAAAGAAGGAAUUUUGGUUAAAACGUAGAUAUUGUACCACAAGAAUUGUUACUGACAUUUUACACCUAUAACUUUAAAGAUGAGCCACUAAUAAUCCAACGCCUAAUAAAAGUAGAGAAAAUUUUAGAAAUAGCAAACAUAAUACACAUAAUAAGGCUCUAUAGCUAUAGUUUCAAUAAUUGUGCUCUAUAAUAAUAGUUUCAUUUGCUAUGGAGGCUGCGGUUUGUAUAUUUCUGUCCGUUUGUUUAUUUCGCUUGUGAAUAUACCACUAGGGUAAGUAUAUACAAAUUAUGUAUUUAGACAUUUAGGAAUUUUUUAGAACUCCAUUUGUAUAUUUCAUUUGACAAUAUACAAAGAUGGUAAUUUAUUAUGAUUUUUUCAUAAAUCGUAUACAAAUAACUAGGAUAAGCAUAUACAAAAUUCUGAAUUUGUACAAUCAGAAACCAAAUUAUACAAAUCAGGCAAAUAAGAAUAAUCGGAGAAAUCGUAGCCACAAAUUACAAUGUUCUUAAACUAUAGCUAUAGUACCUAAUAUAUAUAGGCUAAAUGUUUGCUAUUCUGCAUAAUUUUUCCAUAAAAGUACUAUCAGAAACGAAAAUAUACUAGAUAGGUGUGUACAUGACCAGGUGGAUUUGAUUCUUUUUUUAAAUAUCGUGUCAAAUCAUUUGUGUAAAAUUUUUAAAUUUAUAAAAUCAAACCAAACUAAUACAACUCAAUUUUUUUAACCUCAGAUUUUUUCAGAUUUGUGUCAUUAAAAAGUCAUAACGAAAAUGAUCAUAAUUUAAAAGUGGUAAAUCAUUAUAACAAGUCUAACAAGUAUUAAUUACAUGAUUAAACAUUAAAGAAGAAUUAAAUUAGCUUAUGUAUUUUAAAUGUCUAAACCAAUGUAAAACUAAAGAACAAAUAUUUAACAUUAUUGUCAUUUUUAGUGUUGAAUUUUUUAUUUUUUUAGCAUUAGUAUUGAUUUGAUUUUGAUUUGGGCUUUAUUAGAGUUACUAAUAUGAAAAGUUACCUAAAUACACAACUUAUUUUACCAUAUUUUUUGAAUUCCCUAUCAUUUGGAAAAUUUAUAAAAAUUUCUACUCUCUCCUAUUCUCAAAUACAUCAAUUUACGCGAUGUAUCGAUCGGAUACUGUCACUCCCUGAGCCUACACCCUAGACGUGGUCGGCACUCGAGAACUAUUGUUGGCUCCAAGCGAACCUUUGGCCUGACUCAACUCUCAGCGGAAGACUUACUCAUCAAUUAAUUAACUCAAAACAUAAUUUUACUCAUAGUCUUUAAAAGAAAUAACUUAUAAUUUAUCAGAACAAUCACUGGCCAAUGAACAACUCAAGUCUUAAACAUUAACAAUAGAAAUGAAAGGAUUCCUCAACUACUACUGUUUAUGAAGCCUCUACUAACUGAGAUGAACGUCGGGACAAGAUCCAUGACAUUCUAAUAAACAAAGCUGAAAAUGUAAACUCAAUGUGAAACCCUCUGGAAAGCAAGGAGGCUCACCAACUCUAGCUGAAACACGAUUGGAUCAACGGAGCGCCGGUUGAUGAUCCUGAUUACCUGUAUCUGCGUCAUAAAAUGAUGCAAACCAAAUGUCGUCAUUGAAUGUACGAGCAUGUAAGGGGAACUCUAAAGCAUAGACAUAUAAUCUUGAACUGGAAGGAAAGGAACAUACUUACCUCACCUCAACUCAACUCAACCUCAACUCAAGGAAUACUCAAAGAUACUCAAAAUUUACUCAAACUCAGGGAUGUUCAACUCAGUUCAAUAUAAAACGGUAAUAAAAAUGCAUUAUAAAGAAAGCUUUUAAAACCGUAGAUAAUAACUCAAAGUAUUUAAAAAUACAAUAAUAACUCAAUUUGUAUAUAAAGAUACAAAAUAACUCAAUCUGAGAGAUUCUCUAACCGACAACCAUCGCUAUGAGCUAUGUGAUGAUACAACUUCUCGUCCACGCUACCAGAAUUGUCUUAUACCUUGCCGGAGUAUAAGACAUCCUCAACUUAGGGGAUCCACUAAGCUAUGCUUAAAAAGCAAUAAGGAAUCAUCUAAAAAAUAUGAUAUUUUCUACCCAUGUUGGCUACAUGGUUUAUGAAGACUUUGAGUUGUUUGAACUCAUCCUCAUAUCGGUGCUCAAUACUACUCCCAAAAUAUACUCAACUCAUAUGUUUAAAACCAUUUCCUCAUCCUCAAACUUUGAGAUUAUUACUCAAAAGAUUUCUCUUAAAAGAGAUAGUACUCAAAACUCCACAUAACUCAUUUGGAAAUCAAAGUUUCCUCCUUAUUUUAAAUGUAAAAACAUUUACUCUUGGAAUACUUAGUUCCCAUAUAUUCAUUUUGAAAAAUGAAAUUCAACUCUCCUCAUCCUCAUACUCAAGUCUUAAAACAAGUUUUAAAAGAUUGUAAAAGACUCUUCAACAUGACUCGAAAGAACUCUCAAGACUUUACUCUUAACUCUACCUUGAAUUUAAAUUAUGAAUUCAAGGGUUAUGAUUCAUGUUAUGAAUGAUCUCUCGAUAUUUAGAUGUAGUUUAGAAUGGUUAGAAUCAGAAAGGAGUGAAGGUAUCCUUUAAAAGAACUCAGACAAGCCAACCGACGGAAAAAAUGAGUGGGGGCAGGUGACCCUGGCGUCAACCUUUAAACUAUAGAACAUAUUUUCUGGCGCACUGCUGGGGCGGCGCGCCAGCCCUUACCCAGAACUUUUCGAUGAAUUUUCUUCUUCGAUUUUAGGCCCGAAUUCACCUAGAAUCGAAUGGUUUGUUUCAAACUCUGUUAGAUUCGUUUAACCAACUUAAUUACAUGAAAGUACACUCGAAAACAACCCUCAAACUCCUAACAUUCAUCUCAAAAAUUUAUCAAACCUCAUUAAUCAAAGAACGAAACUCAAACUUACUCAUCAAGAAUUCAAUAUACCCAAACUUGUAGAUGAAAUUCGUGAAAGAAACUCAUGAUUGGUGUGUAGGUGAACGAACCCAUAACUAUGAAAGCUUACAUACCUCGAUUUGACGAAACAAAUUCUCAAUUCGAACGAAAUCUUGAUCGUUCUUCCUUUUCUCCUAUUUUCUCCUCUUGAACUCUCUUCUAAAACCCUAAGCGUAAUUUAGAAUUGUGAAAACUGACCCAAAUCAGUUUAGACCCCUAAAGUAUUACUAAAAACAUUUAAAGCUGAUGGGGGUAAGGAAAAUACCAAAAUACCCCUCAUUAAUUCGGGUAAAUUUCCUUAACUGAACUUGAUGACUUCAAACAGGCAUAUCUCCCUCAUUCGAACUCAAAAUCUAACAAACUCGAUGGCGUUGGAAAGAAGAUUCCAAGACCUUUCAUUUGAUAUCGUAUGGGCCACCUAACUCAUCCUUUACUCAAAGUUAUGGUUGUUUGAAGUUGACCAAAAACUCACAACUUAAGCAUAACUUGAUAAAUUCUCAAAUUAGCUCUUUCCAAAUUAGUUCUGGCUAAACUUAGUUCUUUCUAAGGCGGGAUGCUAUAGAUACAUCCUUUACAUGAUGUAUGGGGACGUGCUCGAUGUAUUGAGUCGUUGAGUGAUGUAUUCGAAAUCGAGACACGAUGAAUCGGGACGUUGAGCGCUGUAUUCGGAACUAUAGGAUGCGAUGUAUCAAAAUAUUUUGGGACAUAUUCGGAUUCCACCAAAUUUAAGAAAUUUUUGUAAUUUGAAAAGGAGUAGAGAUAGGAUGUAAUUAACUCUUAACACUGGUCGUUUGGUGUGAUGGAUAAGGGGAAUUAAUCCCCAGAUAAUUUUUAAGUAGCCUCUAAUCCUUUGUUUGGUUGCAUAGCUUGGGAAUAACUUAUCCCAGGAUUAAUAAUUAGUAUUGGGAUAAGUUAUCCCUCCCUUUGGGUGGUAUAGUAAUUCCGAGAUAACUUAUCCCGGAAUAAAAUACAUAAAUGACAAAUAUAUCCCUUUAAACUCUAUUUAUACCCCACUUUUCACAUUUAUGUAUAACUAUUUUUAAAAGUCUUCAACCACCUUAAUCUUAAAUAAUUCUUUUACAAAAAAAAGUUAUUACUAAAAAUAAAUUAUGUAAUACAAAAUUAUAGUACAAAUCUUAUUAUAAAUUUGAUUUUUCACCAAACAAAAAUAUUAGCACAUGUCCUCCGGAUUCCCCCCACCCCCACCCUCCCUACAUUAUUUUUUGAUACCAUGUAUAAUAAUAUUCACUACUCAUUAUUUUUAUGAUAAUUCUUCAUAUUUUUCUAUUAAGAUAUUACACUAUAUAAAUAUAAUUUUUAUUUAUAAAUUUAUUUGACUAAUUCUUAUGUUUAUUUAUAUUUUGAUUUCUCAUAAAUCCUCUUUUACUUUAACAAACGCAAGAUGGAAAUUCUAUUUUAAGCUAAAUAAGAAAAUAGUUUUAUUUUUAAAUACAUACGGCACCAUUGUGGGAGUGCACACACAAAAUUAUUUAAGCUAAAUAAGAGGAAAUUAUUUUAAAAAAUGAAUAAUUAAAGCUCGCAAAGAAUAUAAAAAAAAAAAAACUAAAUAAAGUGAAGAGUAAUUUUGUAAACAAACAACUUGUUCUUAAAAUUUAUGCAAUGCAUAUUAUUUUGAAUACAACAAACCAACACUCAAUAAUAAAUAAUCACAACAUAACUUAUCCCAUCAUAACUUGUUUUCAAACCAAAUGACCCCUGAGAGUUGUGUAAAAUUCUCUUACUAAUAUCUAUGAAUUACAACUUUUAUGGGACCAUUCCAAAUUCUAAGUCUCAAAAACUUGAAAUAAUAUGUUAAAAGAUAAAAAUAUGAAACAAUAUAAGAAAUAUUUAGAAAUUAUAUCAAAGUAAAUACUUUUAUAUAUAAAAUAAAUUUUAAAAAUUAUAUAUAUAAUUUCGGAUUAGUUUGGUUUCAACUGACUUUCUUUAUAGUUAAAAUCAAACCAAUCCAAGUAUAGUCUGAAUUUUUUUUCUAUACCAAAUCAAGUCAAACCAAACCAUUAGUCAAUUUUUGUUUUUGUCAAUUUAACUAAAUUUGCAGUUUAAUUCAAUUUUCGAUUCUAUUUUGUACAUCCUAAUACUACUAGACAUCUUUCAUGCUUUGGACGAUGUUAACUUUGAUCGAGCGAAUAAAGAAGAUCACUCGGCCUCGUUAAAAAGACUGAAUUUGUUGGUUAUUUGCUAAAGAAAUUGUCAUUUGUUUAGUUCGUAUUUAUGUAAGUCUUUAUAUUUGUUGGUUUUUUUCAUUUUUGGGCUGAUGGUAAAGAUCAAUUACGAUCGCCAACCAAAAUAUACAAAAACUUAUACAGUAGUCAUGUCAUAUAUAUUAUGGGAUUUUUUUUUUCUAGUUAGAACGGUUUGGUACAUAUAUUCAUAUUUAUGAUAUGCAUGUUUAUAUUUGAUAUAUAAAAUAUAUACAUUUGCCAGCUAUUAUUUUUCGAGGAGAGAGGCAAAUCCUUUUAUUUGUCCUAAGAAGACUAGUUAUUUAUAAUAUAUACAAAACAUAUCUAUUUAUGUUAUUUUAAAAGCAUAAAGGUCCUUGCAAAUGCAGAUUGAACUUUUUUGUCUUUCAUUAAAAAAAAUUAUAAUAAAAAAAAUUGUUAUUUACUAUUUUCUCAAAUAAUUGUCAUUUAAUUAUUAUCCUAACAUUUAGAAGCUUGAAAUCAAAUCUUUACUUCUUCUUUUUUAUAAUAGGUAAGAAUUCUUAAUAUUUAAUACUUUAAAAUUAACUAAAAUUUUAUUUCUUAAAUUUUUAAUUAUUUGAACCAUAUAAAAUGUCCUAACAUUUAAGAUUUUAAAAUUAAUAUUUUCACCUUAUAUAAUUCUUACUUAUAUUAUGGAAAUUAAAAUAAAUAAAUAAAUUAAAAUAUGAAAAAAAGAGGUUCACAUUAUAAGAAAUAAUUUUCAACCUUUUUAUAUGAAUAUUUAUGGUUUAGAUUGAUAUAACAUUGUUUUGACAUCUAUAGCUACUUUUGAAUAACCUUGUUCUUUUUCUAUAUAGUUCUAUUGAUUGAAUAAAACACGUACACUAAAUGAGUACGCCUAUCAUGACUUGUUUCCUUGCAUAUUACACAUUGCUGAUUGUAUUUAGCUUCUCCAACAUCGAUCUGGUUGUGGUUUCGACGAGUUCGACACAAAUAACUUAUAUUAGCAAUUCUAGCAAAUGGUUUUAAAGAGCGAGAUGGUGGUUUUUGUUGUUCCCGCGAAGCGAAGAUCAUUCGCUUGGCGAAUAAAGUGGGUCACCCUCUUUUUGGCUUCGUCUUCGAUCUCUCUUCGCAACGCAUUUUAAGGGCUAAGACUUUCUCUCGACAUCUUUCUUUUAUUUAAGUCAUUGAUCUCAUAUCUAUAAGCAUUUUUUAUUGUUUCUUCAACAACUACUUGUAAAUGACGUGACAUAAAAAGGAAGUUAGGAAGUACUAUUUUAUUUAUUUAUAACCAAGAAAUCCAUCUGUGAUCCGCCCUUUGGACCUAUCACAGCCUUCUAAACUCGAUGGAUAAUGAGCCCGCCCCUAUACCCCUUCUCCACUUAAAUACCAGGCUUCGCUUUGCAUGGUGUGAGACUUGAACCUGCGACCUAAGCCACAAAUCCUCCACCUUUUGCCACUCGAGCUAGGCCUUGGGAGCAGGAAGCUAAUAUUAUUUAUAUUGAGAUCGAGAAAUUUCUACUCUAAGAUUCUCUGAGAUGGAGAAAACCUGUGCUUGAUAGAAUGUGAUUUGAAUUAUGACAGGACUGCACAUUCUGAAAAUGAUUUUUGAACAUAAAGGAAGAGGAAAGAAGUAGACAUUCAAGCUAGAUUAUACUUUGUUUCACUCAAAUUUUCAUGUAUGUUUAUUUUUACGUUGCAAUAGCAUCUAUUACCUUAUAUUUCUUUCUUUCUUUAAUACAAAAUACAAGUUCCACAUAUUUAUUGAUUGCAGUACCUCCUUGUGACGAAAAGUCAUAGGAUGGUGUAUAAUCUUGAAAGUCACGCAGCAGGAAAUUCUUCUGCACCUCGAGUCAUUCUGAGUCGAUCACUACAAUUAAAGCUUGGACUUGACGAUUUUCCCAUCAUCGAAUGUUAUCAUCACCUUGCCAAUUGCUCUCCUAUCUUUGAGAGCAGUAAAAGCAAGAUGGGCCUGCAAAAAGGCAACAAUAAUGUGCGUUGUUUCAAUCCUAUAACAAUCAACAAAAGCUAAAUCUCUACAAUAUUUGAAAGCUUAAAAACGCACCAGUGACAUAAAUAUGUAACAUAGCUUCUGAAAAAAACCUACACUUACCAUGAAUCCUUUCAGAUGAUAUCAUAAUGCAGUUUCCUAAUUUUACACUUAUUUUGUAUGAUGACUUCUAAGUCGCUUAAUCAUCCCAACAAGUGGUUGCUUUGUUGGAGGUGUUAUAUGAUUACAGUUAGUUUAAAGAUAUUCCUUACUUUGACGACGUAGGGAAAGAACACCAUUGUUUCCAGCUCAAUUUGCUAAGGCAUGGUGAAACCACUAUGCUAGGUUUUCCAAGAGCAUAAACAAUGAACUAGCUCCCUAACGCCUUGAAAAAGUCAUAGCUGGUUGAUCUAUAUUUUAUGAGGCAGUAAACUACCACUUUGACAUCAUUUAAGUGAGCUACACCUAAUGAUCUCAAAGUGAACACUUAACUUUGGGAUUCAAUGGUUUAUGCCAGCUAAUGUUGAGCAAG
rnacentral:lncRNA from 1 species